GAUGAAGAACGCAGCGAAAUGCGAUAAGUAAUGUGAAUUGCAGAAUUCAGUGAAUCAUCGAAUCUUUGAACGCACCUUGCGCUCCUUGGUAUUCCGAGGAGCAUGCCUGUUUGAGUGUCAUGAAAUUCUCAACCUUUUCAGCUUUCUUUGUUGAUCAGGCUUGGAUGUGGGAGUAUGCGGGCUUCUCAGAAGUCGGCUCUCCUAAAAUGCAUUAGCGGGACCUUUGUUGCCUGGCUUUGGUGUGAUAAUUAUCUACGCCAUUGUAGUCAAGCAGCUUAAAAUGAGGUUUCAGCUUCUAACCGUCUCCCCUGAGACAACUUUUUGACAAUUUGACCUCAAAUCAGGUAGGACUACCCGCUGAACUUAAGCAUAUCAAUAAGCGGAGGA
rnacentral:misc_RNA from 1 species